ACCAUCUUUGUCUUGGGGUGAGAGUGAUGCUCAAUGAAUGUAUAGUGAGAGCAUCUCUGCUAACGCCAUAACGACACAUACGCAUCACCUGGGCAGCAAUGCCUGGGCUAUGGUGCAAUUUUUGGAACC